UAGCUAGUUGGUGAGGUAACGGCCCACCAAGGCGACGAUUGGUAGCCGGACUGAGAGGUUGAACGGCCACAUUGGGACUGAGACACGGCCCAGACUCCUACGGGAGGCAGCAGUGGGGGAUAUUGCACAAUGGGGGAAACCCUGAUGCAGCGACGCCGCGUGGAGGAAGAAGGUUUUCGGAUUGUAAACUCCUGUCGUUAGGGACGAUAAUGACGGUACCUAACAAGAAAGCACCGGCUAACUACGUGCCAGCAGCCGCGGUAAAACGUAGGGUGCAAGCGUUGUCCGGAAUUACUGGGUGUAAAGGGAGCGCAGGCGGACCGGCAAGUUGGAAGUGAAAACCAUGGGCUCAACCCAUGAAUUGCUUUCAAAACUGCUGGCCUUGAGUAGUGCAGAGGUAGGUGGAAUUCCCGGUGUAGCGGUGGAAUGCGUAGAUAUCGGGAGGAACACCAGUGGCGAAGGCGACCUACUGGGCACCAACUGACGCUGAGGCUCGAAAGCAUGGGUAGCAAACAGGAUUAGAUACCCUGGUAGUCCAUGCCGUAAACGAUGAUUACUAGGUGUUGGAGGAUUGACCCCUUCAGUGCCGCAGUUAACACAAUAAGUAAUCCACCUGGGGAGUACGACCGCAAGGUUGAAACUCAAAGGAAUUGACGGGGGCCCGCACAAGCAGUGGAGUAUGUGGUUUAAUUCGAAGCAACGCGAAGAACCUUACCAGGUCUUGACAUCCGAUGCAUAGCUUAGAGAUAAGUGAAGUCCUUCGGGACAUCGAGACAGGUGGUGCAUGGUUGUCGUCAGCUCGUGUCGUGAGAUGUUGGGUUAAGUCCCGCAACGAGCGCAACCCUUAUUGCCAGUUACUACGCAAGAGGACUCUGGCGAGACUGCCGUUGACAAAACGGAGGAAGGUGGGGAUGACGUCAAAUCAUCAUGCCCUUUAUGACCUGGGCUACACACGUACUACAAUGGCGUUUAACAAAGAGAAGCAAGACCGCGAGGUGGAGCAAAACUCAGAAACAACGUCUCAGUUCAGAUUGCAGGCUGCAACUCGCCUGCAUGAAGUCGGAAUUGCUAGUAAUCGCGGAUCAGCAUGCCGCGGUGAAUACGUUCCCGGGCCUUGUACACACCGCCCGUCACACCAUGAGAGCCGGGGGGACCCGAAGUCGGUAGUCUAACCGAAAGGAGGACGCCGCCGAAGGUAAAACUGGUGAUUGGGGUGAAGCCGUAACAAGGUAGCCGUA
rnacentral:rRNA from 1 species